CGAACGCUGGCGGCGUGCUUAACACAUGCAAGUCGAACGCGAAAGCAUCUCUUCGGAGGCGCGAGUAGAGUGGCGCACGGGUGAGUAACGCGUAGAUAAUCUACCCCUGUAUCUGGGAUAACCAAUCGAAAGGCUGGCUAAUACCGGAUGGUCUUAUAACAUCGCAAGGUGAAUUGAGUAAAGGUGACCUCUCGUCGAAGUUGCCGUAUAGGGAUGAGUCUGCGUACCAUUAGCUAGUAGGUGGGGUAACGGCCCACCUAGGCAACGAUGGUUAGCGGGUCUGAGAGGAUGAUCCGUCACACUGGAACUGAAACACGGACCAGACUCCUACGGGAGGCAGCAGUGAGGAAUAUUGCGCAAUGGGGGAAACCCUGACGCAGCGACGCCGCGUGAGUGAAGAAGGCCUUUGGGUUGUAAAGCUCUGUCAGAUGGGAAGAAGUGCAUUAUGGUUAAUACCCAUAAUGUUUGACGGUACCAUCAGAGGAAGCACCGGCUAAAUCC
rnacentral:rRNA from 1 species